UAUUUUGUAUGUUAACAAUGUUGUCCUUUGUAGGUGUAAGAGGUAAUUAAAUGCUCCACGUAAUUUUGUUGUCUAUCUUAUUUGUCAAGGCAACAAGUCGAGGCGGCAACUGAAAGCUUAAGCGCUUAGGCGACAAGGCGCCCGUCUAGUCGUCCACAAAUCGACAAGUCGUUAACAAUGUAAAUUUUAUACAAAUAAAAUUAUAUAUAUUUAAUAUUUAUAUGAAUAUUGAUAUAUUUAUUUUUCUAAUGAUUUACCAUAUUCAUAAUGCAGGUUGUAGCAUAUUAAAUUACAACAAAAA
rnacentral:lncRNA from 1 species